UUACGGCCACAUCAUGUUGAAACACCGGUUCCCGUACGAUCACCGAAGUUAAGCAACGCUGGGUCAGUGCCAAGAUGGGUGAUCGCUUGGUUUUGCGGGUGC